AGUCUUGCAAUUGGAUUGAGAACAACGUACAACUCUUAUCGAUAAGCCAUUGGAGGGCAAGUCUGGUGCCAGCAGCCGCGGUAAUUCCAGCUCCAAUAGCGUAUAUUAACGUUGUUGCAGUUAAAAAGCUCGUAGUUGAAGUGAGGGAGUGUGUGUUCAUGAGAGCUAGUCUCGAGUGUUCACAACCUCCCCCCUCCAAUGGGUGUAGUGGGGUAUUCAGUUAUUUCACUACUCCUUUGGUCGUUUACUGUGAGAAAAUUAGAGUGUUCAAAGCGGGCGUUUGUUUGAAUAGAUUAGCAUGGAAUAAUGAUUGAAGGCUUUCGUGUUCGAUUUGAUUGGUUUGUUCAUGGAAGCAAGGUUAAAAGGAACAGUUGGGGGUAUUCAUAUUCACUAGUUAGAGGUGAAAUUCUCGGAUUUAUGGAAGAUGAACAAGUGCGAAAGCAA
rnacentral:rRNA from 1 species